rnacentral:rRNA from 1 species
UACAGAGGGGGCAAGCGUUAUUCGGAAUUAUUGGGCGUAAAGGGCGCGUAGGCGGCCUGGCAAGUGACGGGUGAAAGCCCUCGGCUCAACCGAGGAACUGCCUGUCAUACUGCCGGGCUUGAGUCCGGGAGAGGUGAGUGGAAUUCCCAGUGUAGCGGUGAAAUGCGCAGAUAUCAGGAGGAACACCGAUGGCGAAGGCAGCUCGCUGGGACGGUACUGACGCUGAGGCGCGAAAGCGUGGGGAGCAAACAGG